UCCUCCCCCCUCCUCUCUGCUCCACACAAACCCGUUCCCCUCCCAUUUGCUAUUUCAUCCACAGAAUAUCUGAACAAAACCGAAAGAAAGCCAGAUGGACUGACGCUAAAAGUAUGUAAAGGCUGCUAUUCCGAUGAUUUCAGGAGAAAAACAUUUUCACGAUGAAGAGACUGAAAAACCAGGCCCACUUGGGUUUAAGAUUCCUCCUGCUACAAGCACACAGAAACACACCGAAGUGUAAAAAACUUAGUUGAUUCUGGGUUGAUUUCUGGCUGGAGGCUGACAGAACUGACUGAAGGGAAAGGAGAGGCAGGGCGUGCAGCGGGGAAUGAAGCGCUUUUGCCCUGCGUUUUCUUUCUUCCUGAAGGCAGUCAAAUCAGGGAAAGGGGGAAAAAAUAAAAUAAAAUAAAUGACCCAACGCCAGGUGAAGGUGCGCCACACUGCUUUGCCCAGACCGACGGAGAAACACGUCUCGGCCGCCUCCCCGACGCGAAAACCUGAACUACAUUUUCCCUCACACACGCUCAUGCGGGGAGAUUUCCGUCUAGUUCAUUGUUCUGCCCGGUGUGACACGGACUUUGCCUCUGGACCCCCCUCUCGUCACCUGGCCCCGCACGUUCCGACUGCACAGCCCCCCGGAAUCGGAGACCCGCGAAGAAUAAAGGAGCGCGGGGUGGGAGCGGAGAGGGACGCCGCGGGAGCUGUGCGGGCAGAGUGCAACGGAGACCGGCUGGAAGGCUUACAGAGUGGUUCUUGCCUGCCACCCACACGCUGUUGUCCCGUGGCCCGCCUCACCCUAGACGGCUGACUUUCUUCUGUGAUACGUUUGAUUUGAGAGAGAGAGGAAAUGAGGGAGGAAGAGAGAGAGAGAGAAACAUCGAUCAGUUACCUUUUCUAUGCUCCUUGACUGGGGAUCACACGCA